GAUGAAGAACGCAGCGAAAUGCGAUAAGUAAUGUGAAUUGCAGAAUUCAGUGAAUCAUCGAAUCUUUGAACGCACCUUGCGCCCUCUGGUAUCCCGGAGGGCAUGCCUGUUUGAGUGUCAUGAUCAAUCUCUAACCAGAGUUUUCUGGCUUAGGGGAUCUGGGUGUUGCCUCACGGCUCGCCUUAAAUGCAUUAGCGUGGUGUAUAAGUUUCGCCGCUAGCUAUCCGACUUUACUGUCAACUGGGAAAGGGCGACCGAUUACCAAGACUCAGACCUCAAAUCAGGUAGGACUACCCGCUGAACUUAAGCAUAUCAAUAAGCGGAGGA
rnacentral:misc_RNA from 1 species